rnacentral:rRNA from 1 species
GACGAACGCUGGCGGCGUGCUUAACACAUGCAAGUCGAACGGAAAGGCCCUGCUUUUGUGGGGUGCUCGAGUGGCGAACGGGUGAGUAACACGUGAGUAACCUGCCCUUGACUUUGGGAUAACUUCAGGAAACUGGGGCUAAUACCGGAUAGGAGCUCCUGCUGCAUGGUGGGGGGUGGAAAGUUUCGGCGGUUGGGGAUGGACUCGCGGCUUAUCAGCUUGUUGGUGGGGUAGUGGCUUACCAAGGCUUUGACGGGUAGCCGGCCUGAGAGGGUGACCGGCCACAUUGGGACUGAGAUACGGCCCAGACUCCUACGGGGGGCAGCAGUGGGGAAUAUUGCACAAUGGGCGGAAGCCUGAUGCAGCAACGCCGCGUGCGGGAUGACGGCCUUCGGGUUGUAAACCGCUUUCGCCUGUGACGAAGCGUGAGUGACGGUAAUGGGUAAAGAAGCACCGGCUAACUACGUG